UGGGGUGUAGCUCAGUGGUAAAGUGUCUCCCUAGCAUGUAUGAAGCCCUGGGUUCCAUCCCCAGCAGCUCAA
rnacentral:tRNA from 1 species